AACAAAGUCAUGUGUUUUUGUUGUGAUUCUUCAUCUCUCGUUUUUAUUGCAUCAAUUUUCAACAAUUUACAAAAUGAGUUCCGGUGUCAUUCUAGCUGGUUUGGCUUUGGCCGCCAUCGGUUAUGGAGGUCGAGCAUUGAUGCGUUCAUCUAAAACGAUCGGUGAUACAUUAUCCAAAUCGAUACCUUCUUCAGCAUUUAGUAAUAGUAAAUAUUAUAGAGGUGGAUUUGAACCAAAAAUGACGCGCCGUGAAGCUGGUCUUAUAUUGGGUAUUAGUCCAUCGGCUAGUAAGAAUAAAUUACGUGAAUCACAUAAACGGAUCAUGUUAUUGAAUCAUCCGGAUCGAGGUGGUUCACCUUAUUUAGCUGCCAAAAUAAACGAAGCAAAAGAUUAUCUAGAAAAAAAUUCUCGUCCAGGACAAUAAUCAUCUACGAUUGUCAUAAAUCAUAAACAUGCUUUUUCAUUGGAAAAUAUUACAGAUUUCUGUUAAUAAUAUGGCAGAUGAAGCUUCAUGAAAAUUUGAAUAAAAGUAAAUUUGGCACGAGAAUAUUCAUCAAUUCUGUCGGUCAUCAUUAUAUAAAUUGUGUGGCCGAUAUGCAUUGGACAUGACAUGAUGCACACACACACACACACACAAUUUCGCAUAUUAAUUAAUUGACAUAUCAUUUUCAUUUUAUUCAAUAUCACAUGGGAAUAAUGCAGAAUUUCUGAAUGAAUGAUGACAACUAUAAAAAACCAUAACAAAAGAAGAUGAAAAAAUGACAUUAUGUAUAAUUUUAUAAUUUUCAAACAAAUUGUUAUUUUUCUACUACUUCUCAAAUGUCUAAUUAUAAUGACAAUAUUGAUCAUUAUGAUCAUAAUAAUCAUUAUUAUGAUUGGUGCACUGAAUACAUUAAUUUUUUGAAAUUCUACCAAAAAAAAGUCAUUUGUACUUGAUUAACAAAUUCAGCCUUCUUUUUGUUUCUCUAACCUUCCCCCAAUCAUAAUCAUCUCAGGUUAAAUCUGUGGGUGUAUGGGUUGAACAACAAAAUCAACUAAAAGUUUUUAUAAUUA